GAUUUUGACUUUCAAUUGAAAUGGAUGCACGAACAUCUCCAUUGACUGGACUAAGAACCUCAAUCUUGCCGCUUUUCCUUGCUACACCAAGUAGAGGGUCAAAUUCACGGUCAACAAGUGACGCCGCAAGCACACACCUCGAAGCAUCAGGUUCCCCCCAUUUCUCCACCACCUUUGGAGCUUCCUUCUGUUCACCCUUAGCUUCAACAACUUUAAUAAGUCCAAGAAUGUCAAACGUCAAAGCUCUAAGAGGAGGGCAUCCAGAGCUCUCCACAGUAGUAGUACGAGGCAUAUUUUUGAGUAAAACCCACAAAUUUCAAUGCUUUGAAGAGAUAAAUAGAGACCCAAAAAGGAUUUUGC
rnacentral:misc_RNA from 1 species